rnacentral:rRNA from 1 species
AGUGAACGCUGGCGGUAGGCCUAACACAUGCAAGUCGAACGGCAGCACAGUAAGAGCUUGCUCUUACGGGUGGCGAGUGGCGGACGGGUGAGGAAUACAUCGGAAUCUACUUUUUCGUGGGGGAUAACGUAGGGAAACUUACGCUAAUACCGCAUACGACCUACGGGUGAAAGCAGGGGAUCUUCGGACCCUGCGCGAUUGAAUGGGCCGAUGUCGGAUUAGCUAGUUGGCGGGGUAAAGGCCCACCAAGGCGACGAUCCGUAGCUGGUCUGAGAGGAUGAUCAGCCACACUGGAACUGAGACACGGUCCAGACUCCUACGGGAGGCAGCAGUGGGGAAUAUUGGACAAUGGGCGCAAGCCUGAUCCAGCCAUACCGCGUGGGUGAAGAAGGCCUUCGGGUUGUAAAGCCCUUUUGUUGGGAAAGAAAAGCAGCAGGUUAAUACCCCGCUGUUCUGACGGUACCCAAAGAAUAAGCACCGGCUAACUUCGU